UGCCUCUUAGCUCAGUUGGUAGAGCGCUCGGUUCUGAGCCGAGUGGUCCGCGGUUCGAGCCCGCGAGAGGCUGCCA
rnacentral:tRNA from 1 species